rnacentral:tRNA from 1 species
GGGGUUGUGGCUCAGUAGUAGAGUGCUUGCCUCGCAUGCAUGAAGCACUGGGUUGCAUCCCCAGCACCA